rnacentral:rRNA from 1 species
UACGUAGGGUCCGAGCGUUGUCCGGAAUUAUUGGGCGUAAAGCGCGUGUAGGCGGUCCGGUAAGUCCGCUGUGAAAGUCGGGGGCUUAACCCUCGGAUGCCGGUGGAUACUGUCGGGCUUGAGUACGGAAGAGGCGAGUGGAAUUCCUGGUGUAGCGGUGAAAUGCGCAGAUAUCAGGAGGAACACCAAUUGCGAAGGCAGCGCGCUGGGACGUUACUGACGCUGAGACGCGAAAGCGUGGGGAGCAAACAGG